rnacentral:rRNA from 1 species
GACGAACGCUGGCGGCGCGCUUAACACAUGCAAGUCGAACGGAAAGGCCUGCUUUCCCUUGUGGAUUGCGGGUACUCGAGUGGCGAACGGGUGAGUAACACGUGAGUGAUCUGCCCCCAACUUGGGUAUAAGCCUGGGAAACUGGGUCUAAUUCCCGAUAGGACUGCAGGGUGGUGCCUGUGGUGGAAAACGAUUUUCUAGUGGUUGGGGAUGAGCUCGCGGCCUAUCAGCUUGUUGGUGGGGUAAUGGCCUACCAAGGCGGCGACGGGUAGCCGGCCUGAGAGGGUGGACGGCCACAUUGGGACUGGGAUACGGCCCAGACUCCGACGGGAGGCAGCAGUGGGGAAUAUUGCACAAUGGGCGGAAGCCUGAUGCAGCGACGCCGCGUGGGGGAUGACGGCCUUCGGGUUGUAAGCUCCUUUCGACCGCGAGGAAGCCACCUGGUUGGAAGGGUGGUGACGGUAGUGGUAGAAGAAGCACCGGCUAACUACGUG